rnacentral:pre_miRNA from 1 species
AGAGGAUACCCCUUGUGUGUUCAUGCUAUUAAUGUGAAUAUACGGGGGAGACUCUUAU